rnacentral:rRNA from 1 species
CCAAUAGCGUAUAUUAAAGUUGUUGCAGUUAAAAAGCUCGUAGUUGAAUUUCGGGAUCAUUAGGUUGGUCGUGCCUCUGGUAUGUACUGAUCUCGGUGGUUCCUACUUCUUGAAGAACCGUAAUGCCAUUAAUUUGGUGUUGCGGGGAAACAGGACUGUUACUUUGAAAAAAUUAGAGUGUUUAAAGCAGGCAAUCGCUUGAAUACAUUAGCAUGGAAUAAUGAAAUAGGACGUUCGAUCCUAUUUUGUUGGUUUCUAGGAUUGACGUAAUGAUUAAUAGGGUUAGUUGGGGGCAUUAGUAUUCAAUUGUCAGAGGUGAAAUUCUUGGAUUUAUUGAAGACUAACUACUGCGAAAGCAUUUGUCAAGGAUGUUUUCAUUAAUCAAGAACGAAAGUUAGGGGAUCGAAGACGAUCAGAUACCGUCGUAGUCUUAACCAUAAACUAUGCCGACUAGGGAUCGGAUGAUGUUAAUUUUUUAAUGACUCAUUCGGCGCCUUACG